UACGUAGGUGGCAAGCGUUGUCCGGAUUUACUGGGCGUAAAGAGCGCGCAGGCGGUCGUUCAAGUCGCGUGUGAAAGCCCCCGGCUCAACUGGGGAGGGUCACGCGAUACUGAUCGACUCGAAGGCAGGAGAGGGAAGUGGAAUUCCCGGUGUAGUGGUGAAAUGCGUAGAUAUCGGGAGGAACACCGGUGGCGAAGGCGGGUCUCUGGGCCGAUACUGACGCUGAGGAGCGAAAGCGUGGGGAGCAAACAGG
rnacentral:rRNA from 1 species